GUGCUUGCUUCGGCAGCACAUAUACUAAAAUUGGAAUGAUAGGGAAGAUUAGCAUGGCCCCUGUGCAAGGAUGAUGCACAAAUUCAUGGAGCGUUCCCUAUUUUC
rnacentral:snRNA from 1 species